GACGAACGCUGGCGGCGUGCUUAACACAUGCAAGUCGAACGGAAAGGCCCUGCUUUUGUGGGGUGCUCGAGUGGCGAACGGGUGAGUAACACGUGAGUAACCUGCCCUUGACUUUGGGAUAAAUUCAGGAAACUGGGGCUAAUACCGGAUAGGAGCUCCUGCUGCAUGGUGGGGGUUGGAAAGUUUCGGCGGUUGGGGAUGGACUCGCGGCUUAUCCGCUUGUUGGUGGGGUAGUGGCUUACCAAGGCUUUGACGGGUAGCCGGCCUGAGAGGGUGACCGGCCACAUUGGGACUGAGGUACGGCCCAGACUCCUACGGGAGGCAGCAGUGGGGAAUAUUGCACAAUGGGCGGAAGCCUGAUGCAGCAACGCCGCGUGCGGGAUGACGGCCUUCGGGUUGUAAACCGCUUUCGCCUGUGACGAAGCGUGAGUGACGGUAAUGGGUAAAGAAGCACCGGCUAACUACGUG
rnacentral:rRNA from 1 species